CAGUGGCGCAAGGGUGAGUAAGGCGACGGUAACCAGCCCCAUGGUUGGGCAUAGCCGCGGGAAACUGCGGGUAAUUCCCAGCGACGUCCGGGUCGGGCAUCCGAUCCGGACCAAAGUUCCGGCGCCGUGGGACGGGCCGUCGUGGUAUUAGGUCGUUGGCGGGGUAACGGCCCACCAAGCCUGUGAUGCCUACCGGGCGUGCGAGCGCGACCCGGCACACUGGGACUGAGACACUGCCCAGACUCCUACGGGAGGCUGCAGUCGAGAAUCUUCGGCAAUGGGCGCAAGCCUGACCGAGCGACGCCGCGUGGAGGAUGAAGGCCUUCGGGUUGUAAACUCCUGUCGAGGGGGAGGAAGGCCGGGUAACCGGCUUGACCGAUCCCUGGAGGAAGCACGGGCUAAGUUCGUGCCAGCAGCCGCGGUAAGACGAACCGUGCGAACGUUAUUCGGAAUCACUGGGCUUAAAGCGCGUGUAGGCGGAUGGGGACGUCGGUCGCUGAAAUCCCCCGGCUCAACCGGGGAAGGGGCACCGAAACGCCCCGUCUGGAGGGACGUAGGGGGACCUGGAACUUCCGGUGGAGCGGUGAAAUGCGUUGAGAUCGGAAGGAACGCCCGUGGCGAAAGCGAGGUCCUGGACGUCUGC
rnacentral:rRNA from 1 species